UCACGAAAAUAGAAAACCGAACUUCUUUAGUACUAUAGCUAAAAUCUCAUGAGAUCUAUCACUCACUUAUCCAGAAGAUGUUACUCUCCUCAAUGAAAUAAACCAAAAAGUUGUCUUCAAACUUUGAAGCGAUAUUCCCAAGAAGGUG